rnacentral:lncRNA from 1 species
CUGUAAACUCACAUAUUUUUGCCCAUAGUUGCUCUAUAGUUCACAGUAAGCCUUGGGUAAACUGGCCUGGAGAUAACAAAAUCAGUACAACAAAGGCUUCCAAAAAGCUCUUUGUUGAAAAAUGGGGUUCUGUAAAGUAACAUUUUGUGCUGGGGCACAUGGAUGGUAUGAAAUGGAACGGCCCUUUUGGAGAAGCUGCCUUUAAUUCGGUGUAUGAGAAAAACAACUGUCGCUGUUUACACUGCUCGCUCAAGAGCUGGCAGAGCUUCCCAAGAGGAGUGAACGUUGUCAUCUGCACUUUGGUGAUGAGCUGAGCCAGGGCAGAAAGUCACAUUGAUGGAUCUGGAAAGGCAGCCCUGGUGUGCAGCACAGAGGUUUGGAGCAUUUGCUGCCAUUAUUCCCUGGUUUUUCCUGGCUGAGGACAUAAAGGGUGACACAGCAAGGGCCAGCACCACCUUCCCUUGUGCUGCAGGUCCUGCAGGAAAACCCAGCCCAGAUUUCCAGGUGUGGCCCUGCUUGCUCAGGCUGGACAGAGGUGUAAUAUGUGUAUAUAUAUCGUUUAUAACAGAGGAAUCCAUCCUUCAGCCCACCCACAUCAGCACAGCAAGAGCUGGAACUGCAGCACGUGUGGAACAUCCUGUGCUGGUUGUGCUGCAUUGGUCUGGGGAUUAA